CCUUUUUUUAGGUUCUUCGGUGGUUAUAAAUUGGUUCUGGAUCUGGAAAUUAAGUUCAAGGUUGUUAUUCAUAAAUGUUUCUCUGAAUUUUUUCUUAAUGCCUUGUUUCUCAGUGAAUUCUGAGAUUAGGUUGUUUAUUGCAUUAGGUUUUUAGCCUAUGUUAACAAUUUGUGCUUUGAAAAAACUUGAUUUUUGGUUUUGUUUCUUCUGGAAAUCUUGUGAGAAAAGUACAAUUCAUACAAAAUUUUGGUUUGUUUCCCUUGUUUAAGAAUAAGUAGUUGAAACUUGAAACAAACCCUUGAUUUGUUUUCCUUUGAUUUAUCUUCUUUAAACUUUUAUUUGUCAAAUUCAGCUCUUCAAUAUACUUUUGAAAUCCAAUGAAACGAUAUUAUUGACUUCUGAAGUUAGUAUAGAUACUGCAGAUAAUAAGAAGUUUGGGAAGUUUCUACAAUAGUUUUGUCUUUAAUCCUUAAGGCUUUGUAAUAUGCAUGAUCAUCACUCAUAUGAGUUCCCUUCUUGCUUGUCCAGCCAGCUAGAAAGACUCCAAAAUCUUCGGAUUUUUGGAAUCACGAGUAUUGGAUGUAUUUCUAUUGCUUUGGGGUCAAUGGUAACAGAAUCUAUGACAAUCUAUGAUUUUACUUUGAGAUAUGAUACAUUAUCAAUUGACAACGAGAGAGAGCACGCUUGUAGCCAUUCAUGCUAGGUCGUGGAUGCAUACAAGCGUGCUCUCUAUCGUUGUCAUGUGAUUUGUAUAGAUCUUUUUGCGGUAUAUGUUUGUUGCAAUAGCUAGCAGCCAACAGGUAUCAGAUUUAUAUGUUAUUCCGUUGUACAAAAAAUUCCUCAAUGAUGUCAAAGAGAAGUUUGUGUAGGUAAAUUCUUUGCCAUGUUCUUUGUAAGCUGUACAGGUAUCAGAUUUAUAUGUUAUUCCAUUGUACAAAAAUUUCGUCAAUGAUGUCAAAGAGAAGUUUGUGUAGGUAAAUUCUUUGCCAUGCUUAUUGGAUGUAGCUUAUAAUGUCCUAUACCUUUUUCUUGUUUUUUUUGAACAACUAAAAUAUAACCCGCGACUCGAUUUUGAUACUAUAUCCUCGAUGUUUUGAAUUUGAUCUUUUUGAUGGGCAGUUAUAUAAUGAUACUUUAGAAUAAAUAAGAUAUGGCAACUUAAAGUUGGGUUUUGAACAAUAGCAAUUGAAUUUGAUGUCCGUGACCAUUCAUUGAGUAUAUUUUUAUGCACAAAUGGCCUAUGCUGAGGGAAGGAGUAUUCUAGUGAUUUUUUCCCUGGAACAGGCCUUCUUGUAGUAGGCAUCAUUUUUGGUUUCUUAAGAAUUUUAGGGCUUAAGUUUCCUAAGUUUAGUCUUAUUAAAACUAUAACCAUUUGGGGAUUGCAUUGUAAAACUUUCAAAGGAAAAUCAAGUUUCUAGUGAUUUUGUACGUUUAGCUUUGCAUAAAAAAUAAUAUUGCUCGUUUAACUUGCCGUAGACAUUGUCGGAGUUGGUGGCAGCUGCCGACGAGGUCGGGUUGGUUACAAUUGUAUUUUGCUUCACUGGGACCAAAACUGAAAAGAAAUUACAGAUACAAAAAUAAAAAAUUUAAAAAUUUUGCAGAAAAUUAAGUGUAUCAAAUUCUUAUAAAAGAUAUAUUUUUGUGAAAAAAUUGAACUUUUAAGCCAGAUGUGUUAAAAAAGAAUGAAGUCAAAGGUUUAAAAUUAUUGAUGAAAGCGGCGUUGGCCACAUGUAGGUUUCGAAAAGUUAUGUGGACCUAAAAAAAAAUCGUCGCAAUCGGACACUUGAACAUAAAGUUAUGACCUUUUCAAAAUUUUGUAGUAUACUAAGCACACUUUGCUCCAGCAUGCGAUUAAUUUACUUUUAGGCAUGUGUGCUUAGUAGUACCUUUUGUGGUCUUUCUUCUUUGGGUCACUCUUUAUUGCUAGGGCAUUCAACAUACAGUUCAUAACACAAAACAGACGAGGGGGGUAUGGUUUUCCAAAUUACUUCUGCAUAAUGUGAAGUUUAGCCUAUAAGGUAUCAAUUGCGUGCAUUAGAUAAUAACUCCUGUUUUAUAUCUGUUUUAAAUUGCAGGUUUCGAGUGUUAUAUAGGUAUUUUUUUACCUUCAGCCUUGUAGCAUUUUCUUGAUGUUGAGGAUUUUUUUUUGUAAUUGUGUUGCAUUUUUGUUGAAGUCUUUUCUGGAGUAUGAACGAUGGCAUUCUACAUUUAUACCUAUGUUUUUUCCCCUUGCAAAUAUGAACAAAUUUAUGAGAUUCGAGCAGUUAUUUCUUUUAUGAGAUUUGAGCAGCUGUUAUGUUUUCAAGGACUUGUCAUCUACUAAAUUCUAACUAAGCCCUAACCCUACUUCAAAAAAGAUCAUCCUAUUUCAACCCUAACCCUAAUUUUUUGGUUACAGUCCUAGCAUGGUGCCUAAAAGGUUUUCUAAGUUUUGAUAUUUCCACAAGGAUCCAUCCUUUUAUAGAACCAUGCAUUCAUAAAUUUCUACAACAUUUUUUCUAGGUUAAGUGAAAUCUUUUGUUCAUCAAAAGGAAGCAAUAAUGUUGGAGUACCUAUUAUAAAGAUGACAAAAGCCGUGGAAAAGCACUUAAGCAGUAGUAACCAACAGAUAAAAUAAUUAAGAUAAAGUGGCCCUGGCGAAAUAGCAAAUCAGAAGAUUAACUCGACUAAUAUUCCCUAAAAAGACCCCAUCUUUUACAUAGAGAUUUGGCCUUUGGUUAAGACUUGUUAUCUAUAUUCAAGAGGCAGUUGAAUGUAUCAAAAUACCUGAACUAGAACGGGUUCUGGUAUCCUGCUUCAAUCUAAAGGCUGCGGCUUCCUUUGCACAAUUAAAAAUAGUUUGCACACUCUCUCUAUCCAUGAUUUUCUGAAAGGGGGAAUGGACAUCCAAUGAUUAUUGGUUGUCAAGUUUAUAUAUAUUUUAGGCUUUGGAAUGAGAGUUUGUAUGCUCUUUUGUAGCUGCUUUCUUACAAGGCAUGGUCAAGAAACCUCCCAUCGUUAUAGUAUUUAAUUCUCGAAAUCUCUUACUGAUAAACACGGUAAUAGUAAAUGCCUUUGUUUCAUCUCUUCCUUUAACCCCAUUUUCUCUUGGGGAAUUCAACUCCAAUAGUAGCUGAAACCAUGUUUUAUAGUGUUUAUUGUUGCUUGAGAAUUGGUUUAUUGAUUUUGAACUUUUAGGUUUACUAGGCAAUGUGUGGAACUGAAUCGAACAUUUAUUAGUGAAACGUCUUGGUUAAACUAAAUCUAAAGUUUUUAGAGCAAUCUUCUCUACUUGAAUGUAUGUAGAUGACCCCUAUCUGCAAUCAUCUUGGUUUAUUGCGUAGACAUGGAGGCUUUUUGAUGAGUAGCUGAAACCAUGCUUGAUAGCCUUUUCAGCUGUAAAUCCUCUACGUGCCAUAUAUGUAUAUGCUUUAGCUGUUCAGCUUGAACUGCCUUUGGGACUUGGGAGUAUGUUUUUGUAGUUCUCGGUGACUCAGAUUUUGUUGAUAUGUUAUCGGUUCAUGCAUAUGAAGGCUGCUUGAGGUCAUUAAUCAAUGUUUUCUUUAUAGGUUGUAGGCUGUAAAUUGGAACAAAUAGCUGAAAAUUAGGAAAUUUAAUUUCCUAAUUCUCAUAGCUGCUGAUUUUGAUUUUACCAUGAUUUGUUAGUUUGUAUAUUUUCCUAGAAUAAACUCUCUUUGUAAUCUAUAAAUAGGUAAUAUUUUUAUCAAUAAAAUAUCAAUUCAAUUGAGAAAAACAGAUUACUCAAAAUUGAGAAUCUGGUUCAAACACCUAGUUUCUACAUGGUAUUAAUUUAGGCUACAAGAUCCGAACCCUAGAAAAUAUGACCAAAUCAACUUCCUCCGAAAUAAAUUCGGGGACUGAUAUUGGUUACAAUUCAGAAGCCCUUCCAAAUGCAUCUGGUACGGCUGUAACCUGCCAUAAAUUGACUAGCCAUAACUAUCUUCAAUGGUCCCAGUCGAUGAAACUCUACGUCACUGGAAGGGAAUGCUCGGAUGCAUCUCAGCAGGGAAUUCCAAACCGGCAACAACUGAUGUAGGCUAUCAAAAGUGGUUGCGUGAGAACAAUAUAGUCAUGUCCUGGUUGAUUACUUUAAUGGCACCUGGAAUAGGGAAAAGCUUCCUUUAUAAAACUGCAUAUUAAGUUUGGAUUGCUGCCAAAGAAACUUAGUCAAGUUCAGAUAACAUGGCUGAACUAUUUGGUAUUGUGUGUAAAAUCACAUACCUAAGGCAAGAAGAUAUGGAUGUGACAAACUACUUCAACACCAUAACAAGGUAUUGACAACAAAUUGAUUUAUUUGGAACUAAUAAUUGGAAUUGUGUCAACGAUGCAACUCUUUACAAGAGACUUACAACACAGAAAAGAAUCUUUCAGUUUUUUGUAUGGUUUGAAUAAAAAUUUGGAUGGGGUUCGAGGGAGAAUCCCGAGUACAAAAUAGCUCCCUUCCAUUCGAGAAGUUCUUUCUGAAGUACGCAGGGAAGAAAGUAGAAGGGUUGUUAUGCUUUCAGACCCACAAGUUCAUGAUGGUUCAGCCCUUCUAACACUUUCCAGUUCUAACAGUUAAUUGAAGUAAGGAAAGCCAGGUUGCUAGAAACUUCAUAGCAAACCAGCUGACUUGAAACCACAAAAACCAAGGCCAUGAAGAGAACCUUCAACCUCUAUUGCUACUAUUGAGGAAGGAACUAGCUUCAACAAACAACAGCUGGCAAAUUUACAAAGACUAAUCAAAAAAAUGACUAUACCAAAUGACUCUUCAAUGGCUGCUACAACACAUGAAGGUAGUCUAUCCUUUGCACAUUUAUCUCAUCAUAGUGAUUUUACUCCAUGGAUUGUGGAUUCCAGAGUAUUAGAUCAUAUGAAUGGGGACUUGCAAUUAUUCCAAAUAUUUCAGAAAGUAUUGCCUCAAUCUCAUGUCAAGACUGCAGAUGGAUCUUGAUCCACCAUUGAAGAAGUGGUUCAAUUCCCCUUAAUCAGGAUAUUAAGUUAUCCAAUGUGUUUUAUGUGCUUAAUUUGGCUUGUAAUCUUCUCUCAGCCCAUAGAUUAUCUCAUGACUUACAAUACACUACUGAAUUUUCCUUAAACUUUUGUGAAUUUCAAGCUAUGGGUUCAGGGAAGGUGAUUGGCAGUGUUAGGUUGUCUGGUGGACUCUACAUUCUUCAGGGAAGCCACCUCCUAAACGACAAGCCUAUUCAAGUUGUUCUCCUCAACCUUCAAAUUUAUCAACCGUUCCAAAUUCCUCGCAAGAUAUUCUAUUAUGACAUUUUAGAUUAGGUCACCCACAUUUUCACCUUGUAAAAAUGUAACCCUCUUUUUAUUAAUAAAAUUUCAAAGUUGUUUACUCGUGACAUUUGUCCUCUAGCAAAACAAACAAAGGUUCUUACCAUUUUUUCACUUAUAAAUCCUUGCAUCCUUUCUCUAUUGUUUACCGUGACAUUUAGGGCCCUUCAAGAGAAAUAAUUUAGAUGGUUCUAGAUGGUUUAUCACCUUUAUAAAUAAUCAUUCAAUAACAACUCGGACCUUCCUAAUGAGAGAAAAAUACGAAAUUGAAACAUUUAAAAAGUUUUAAUGGUAGAAACUCAUUUGGGAGCACUAUUCGAAUCCUUUACACUG